UACGUAGGGGGCAAGCGUUGUCCGGAUUUAUUGGGCGUAAAGAGCGUGUAGGCGGCUAUACAGGUCCGUUGUGAAAACUGGAGGCUUAACCUCCAGACGUCGAUGGAAACCGUAUGGCUAGAGUCCGGAAGAGGAGAGUGGAAUUCCUGGUGUAGCGGUGAAAUGCGUAGAUAUCGUAAGGAAGACCAGUGGCGAAGGCGGGUCUCUGGACAGUUCCUGACGCUGAGACACGAAGGCCAGGGGAGCAAACGGG
rnacentral:rRNA from 1 species